AGCGAACGCUGGCGGCAGGCCUAACACAUGCAAGUCGAACGAACUCUUCGGAGUUAGUGGCGGACGGGUGAGUAACACGUGGGAACGUGCCUUUAGGUUCGGAAUAACUCAGGGAAACUUGUGCUAAUACCGAAUGUGCCCUUCGGGGGAAAGAUUUAUCGCCUUUAGAGCGGCCCGCGUCUGAUUAGCUAGUUGGUGGGGUAAUGGCUCACCAAGGCGACGAUCGGUAGCUGGUCUGAGAGGAUGACCAGCCACAUUGGGACUGAGACACGGCCCAAACUCCUACGGGAGGCAGCAGUGGGGAAUCUUGCGCAAUGGGCGAAAGCCUGACGCAGCCAUGCCGCGUGUAUGAUGAAGGUCUUAGGAUUGUAAAAUACUUUCACCGGUGAAGAUAAUGACUGUAGCCGGAGAAGAAGCCCCGGCUAACUUCGUGCCAGCCGCCGCCGUAACAC
rnacentral:rRNA from 1 species